rnacentral:rRNA from 1 species
AGCUCCAAUAGCGUAUAUUAAAGUUGUUGCAGUUAAAAAGCUCGUAGUUGGAUUUCAAGGGAUAGACGAGGCAACUCGUUGACACCUAUCAGUCCGAAAGGACUGUUACUGUGAGAAAAUUAGAGUGUUUCAAGCAGGCUAUUGCAGGAAUACAUUAGCAUGGAAUAACGAAUGUGUCUAGAAUCUUGGUUAAUUCUAGAUUACGAUUAAUAGGGACAGUUGGGGGCAUUAGUAUUUAAUUGUCAGAGGUGAAAUUCUUGGAUUAUUUAAAGACUAACGUAUGCGAAAGCAUUUGCCAAGGAUGUUUUCAUUA